rnacentral:rRNA from 1 species
CCUACGGGAGGCAGCAGUGGGGAAUAUUGCACAAUGGGCGAAAGCCUGAUGCAGCAACGCCGCGUGAGCGAUGAAGGCCUUAGGGUCGUAAAGCUCUGUCCUCAAGGAAGUUAAUGACGGUACUUGAGGAGGAAGCCACGGCUAACUACGUGCCAGCAGCCGGGGUAAUACGUAGGGGGCUAGGGUUAUCCGGAAUUACUGGGCGUAAAGGGUGCGUAGGUGGUUUCUUAAGUCGGAGGUGAAGUGCUACGGCCCAACCGUAGUAAGCCUUUGAAACUGGGAAACUUGAGUGCAGUAGAGGAGAGUGGAAUUCCUAGUGUAGCGGUGAAAUGCUUAGAUAUUAGGAAGAACACCAGUUGCGAAGGCGGCUCUCUGGACUGUAACUGACACUGAGGCACGAAAGCGUGGGGAGCAAACAGGAUUAGAUACCCCUGUAGUC